AUACUUAAACACUUCUCAUACUCGAGGAAUAUUUUGAGAUCUUCCUUCAGGUACUGGACCCAGCCGUCCUCGAGCCGGUCACAGGCGUGCUGCUUGGCAGGAUCGAACACCACCGAGUCCACGAAGUCAUUUGCUGAGAUGGCCCAUGCGUUACACAGUCGUAGCAUGCGGUCUGCUGCGCGAUCCUCUGCAGCGCCAUACUCUGUUACAUCCUGCCAGAACAGCAGGCUUGGUAGCAGUGUCUGGUCUUGGUGACUGUGAAAAAGAAACCAGGGCAAGUGGUCACUCAAACAGGGAAAGUGCUCACUCAACCAGGGCAAGUGUUCACUUAACCAGGGCAAGUGAACACUUAACCAGGGCAAGUGUUCACUCAACCAGGGCAAGUGUACACUAAACCAGGGCAAGUGUUCACUUAACCAGGGCAAGUGUUACUCAACCAGGGCAAUGUUCACUCAACCAGGGCAAGUGUCAAAUUAACCAGGACAAGUGUUCACUCAACCAGGGCAAGUGUACACUUAACCAGGGCAAGUGUCCAAUUAACCAGGACAAGUGUUCACUCAACCAGGCAAGUGUUCACUUAACCAGGGAAGGUGUUCAAUCAACCAGGGCAAGUGUACACUUAACCAGGGCAAGUGUUCACUCAACAAGGGCAAGUGUUCACUCAACCAGGGCAAGUGUUCACUCAACCAGGGCAAGUGUUCACUCAACAGGGAGAGUGUUCACUCAACCAGGGCAAGUUUCCACUCAAGUUCUUAAAGAAAACUGGCCUCAGAAGUACAUGAGUAAAUGGCUUGAAUGCAAAAAUGUGCGUAUGUGACUUUUUUAUAUAGAGAUAAAUGGCUGUGUAAUGUUUGCAAUUAUAAAUAAUGCUUUGA